rnacentral:lncRNA from 1 species
GAUACCUGUUUUUGUUUGCUCCACCCAUCUCAUUGAAGAGGCCACCAAAUCGUUAAGUGGGAUUGUCGUUUGGCAAGGCAACGUGAUUCAUCAACGGAAGAACGGGAAUAUACUUUUUCUUCUACACCGCGAAGACUUCUGUGUUGGAUACUGUGACUCUGAGGGAGGACCAGGAGUCCUUUCUAGGCACAGAGUGAAGUUCCGCUUGCCUGAAGAUGGGAGUAUACAAUAAUACAGGCCCCAUGCCCCACGACCCUCCUUAACGCCAGCCCCAGACAACAUUUCUUCUGAUCACUCGUGUGGCCUGGGCCCACUGGGUCCCAGCAGUCCCAUCAGCUGACAGCUGGAGGAGAGGCACUUCAUCUUUUAUGCUUGUCAACUCCACGAAUGGAUUAAGGAGUCCCUUUUCUGGCAAUCUCCUUUGUGGGCUAAAGAAGCAGGUCUGAAUAGGAAGAAUGAAGUGGUUUUGUAAGCUGGUGUGCAGGCAGAAAGAGCAAGAGUUUCCAAGGAUUCUCUCUGUUGGUUGGCAAAGGACUUCAGUCAUCUGGGCUGAUGAUCUGGUGUCGCUCCUCUGGGCUUCAGAAUGGAUCUGGUACCACCUCCCACCUUGCGGAUGUUCACUUGUGCAGCAUUUGGCCCCACGCUCCUGGGUAUCUUAGAUUUCCUUGGGAAAGACAGAACCGCUGAUGAGUUUAUUGGGCCAUGCGGCUGGACUGGAAAGCGAAUAACUCUGGACUUUGAGCUUUGGGUGCAGCAUAGCUUUGGAAUUGACUUAAUUAAGGGAGAGAGCGGAACACUUGCCUCAAGGGCCUUAAGGAGGGGCUCACAUGCCCUUCUGGAGGUUUCUGCGGAGAGACAGCG